rnacentral:rRNA from 1 species
GACGAACGCUGGCGGCGUGCUUAACACAUGCAAGUCGAACGCUGAAGCUCAGCUUGCUGGGUGGAUGAGUGGCGAACGGGUGAGUAACACGUGAGUAACCUGCCCUCUUCUUUGGGAUAACGCCCGGAAACGGGUGCUAAUACUGGAUAUUCACUGAUUCUCGCCUGGGGGUUGGUGGAAAGGUUUUUUCUGGUGGGGGAUGGGCUCGCGGCCUAUCAGCUUGUUGGUGGGGUGAUGGCCUACCAAGGCUUUGACGGGUAGCCGGCCUGAGAGGGUGACCGGUCACAUUGGGACUGGGAUACGGCCCAGACUCCUACGGGAGGCAGCAGUGGGGAAUAUUGCACAAUGGGCGAAAGCCUGAUGCAGCGACGCCGCGUGAGGGAUGGAGGCCUUCGGGGUGUAAACCUCUUUCGCUCAUGGUCAAGCCGCAGCUUGGGGUUGUGGUGAGGGUAGUGGGUAAAGAAGCGCCGGCUAACUACGUG